AUUGAACGCUGGCGGCAGGCCUAACACAUGCAAGUCGAGCGAGCGGCGGACGGGUGAGUCAUGGAUGGGGACUGCCCGAUAGAGGGGGAGAACUACUCGAGACGCUGGCUAAUACCGCAUACGGUCGGAUAAGCCAUAUGGGAUUAGCUAGUAGGUAAGGUAAUGGCCAACCUAGGCGACGAUCCCUAGUUGGGCUGAGAGGAUGAUCAACCACACGGGGACUGAGACACGGCCCAGACUCCUACGGAGGCAGCAGUGGGGAAUAUUGCACAAUGGGCGCAAGCCUGAUGCAGCCAUGCCGCGUGUAUGAAGAAGGCCCUAGGAGUGUAAAGUACUUUCAGUCGGGAGGCGUUACCGACAGAAGAAGCACCGGCUAACUCCGUGCCAGCAGCCGCGGUAAUAC
rnacentral:rRNA from 1 species